CAAGUAUUCCCUUCGUCCCAAAAUUCUUGUCUUAGAUUUGUCUAGAUACGAAUGUACAUAAUACUAAAACGUGACUUGAUACAUCCAUAUGUAGACAAAUUUAAGACAAGAAUUUUGGGACGGAGGGAGUAUAUA
rnacentral:pre_miRNA from 1 species